GAUGAAGAACGUAGUGAAAUGCGAUAAGAAAUGUGAAUUGCAGAAUUCAGUGAAUCAUCGAAUCUUUGAACGCACAUUGCGCCCCCUGGUAUUCCGGGGGGCAUGCCUGUUCGAGCGUCAUUUCACCACUCAAGCCUCGCUUGGUAUUGGGCAACGCGGUCCGCCGCGUGCCUCAAAUCGACCGGCUGGGUCUUCUGUCCCCUAAGCGUUGUGGAAACUAUUCGCUAAAGGGUGNNCGGGAGGCUACGCCGUAAAACAACCCCAUUUCUAAGGUUGACCUCGGAUCAGGUAGGGAUACCCGCUGAACUUAAGCAUAUCAAUAAGCGGAGGA
rnacentral:misc_RNA from 1 species